CACAAUGAUACAGAUUCAUAGUUUUGACUACAAGUCGGAGAGGAAAGAGUUGGAAGAAAGAACUAGAAAAGCUAAUGUGAAAACAAGUCAUUCAGAAUCUCUCGUUUCGGACAUGGAGGUAAUCUAUUUUGAAAAGCUUCUUGAACUUUUAGUAAUUUGGAAAAUUUUCAGUACAUUUAUGUUAUUUUUAAAAAUAUUAUUACACUUCUGCACAUAGGCCUUAAAGUACAUGUGUUUUAUUGUAGUACAAAUGAAAAAUUGAAGCAAUUCUGAUUUUCAUCUGGCAAUGAACUAUCAUGACGUCACUUUGUAAUAUGGGCUAAGCAAAUACCAAAUUGAACUACCACUGAAAUCUAUGAGCUAUUUUAGAAAAUGAAUAUCAUCUCAUGACUGCGAGUAUGAAUUUAUAAUAGAGCUUAUAUAGAUUUUUGAUUUGCAGCUCACUCUCUUGCAGUGCUCGUGUAGCUCCCUUUCCUUGAUCUCAAAUUCUACUAGGGAGCAUCGUCAAUUGAGCAUUAGAGAAAUUCUAAUGACGUAUUUAUCGUGGCAUUUAUACUUCAGAAACUUUUCUGUAAUUAUAAAAAUAGUUUGACAAUAUUACUAUAGUUUAUGC
rnacentral:lncRNA from 1 species